rnacentral:rRNA from 1 species
GACGAACGCUGGCGGCGUGCUUAACACAUGCAAGUCGAACGGAAAGGCCCCUUUGGGGGUACUCGAGCGGCGCACGGGUGGGUAACACGUGCGUAACCUGCCCUUGACUUCGGGUUAAAUUCCGGAAACUGGGGCUAAUUCCGGCUAGGAAUCCUUGCUGCAUGGUGGGGGUUGGAAAGCUUCGGCGGGUUUGGAUGGACUGACGGCUUAUCAGCUUGUUGGUGGGGUAGUGGCUUACCAAGGCUUUGUCGGGUAGGCGGCCUGAGAGGGCGACCGGCCACAUUGGGACUGAGAUACGGCCCAGACUCCUACGGGAGGCAGCAGUGGGGAAUAUUGCACAAUGGGCGGAAGCCUGAUGCAGCAACGCCGCGUGCGGGAUGACGGCCUUCGGGUUGUAAACCGGUUUCAGCAGGGGCGAAGCUUGUGGUGACGGUACCGGCAGAAGAAGCACCGGCUAACUACGUG